rnacentral:rRNA from 1 species
CGGCCUAAAAGUUUUUUAUAGCAUUGCACGUGAUAAUGCAGUCGAGCGAAUGGAUUAAGAGCUUGCUCUUUAUGAAGUUAGCGGCGGACGGGUGAGUAACACGUGGGUACCUGCCCAUAAGACUGGGAUAACUCCGGGAAACCGGGGCUAAUACCGGAUAACAUUUUGAACCGCAUGGUUCGAAAUUGAAAGGCGGCUUCGGCUGUCACUUAUGGAUGGACCCGCGUCGCAUUAGCUAGUUGGUGAGGUAACGGCUCACCAAGGCAACGAUGCGUAGCCAACCUGAGAGGGUGAUCGGCCACACUGGGACUGAGACACGGCCCAGACUCCUACGGGAGGCAGCAGUUGGGGAAUCUUCCGCAAUGGACGAAAAGUCUUGACGGAGCCAACGCCGCGGGGAGUUAUGGAAGGGCUUUCGGGGUCGUAAAAACUUCUGUUGGUUAGGGGAAAGAAACAAGGUGCUAAGUUGAAAUAAGGCUGGCCACCUUGACGGGUACCUAACCCGGAAAGCCCACGGCUAACUACGUGGCCAGCAGGCCGCGGGUAAUACGUAGGUUGGCAAGCGUUUAUCCCGAAAUUAUUUGGGCGUAAAGCGCGCGCAGGUGGUUUUCUUAAGGUCCUAAUGUGAAAAGCCCACGGCUCAACCCGUUGGAGGGGUCAUUUGGAAAACUGGGAAGAUCUUGAGGUCCAGAAGAAGGAAAGUGGAAUUUCCAUGGUGUAGGCGGUGAAAUGCGUAGAGAUAAUGGGAGGAACACCAGGUGCGGAAGGCGACUUUUCUUGGUCUGGUAACUUGAACACUGAAGGCGCGAAAGCCGUGGAGAGCAAAACCGGGAUUUAGGAUAUCCCCGGGGUAGUUCCAACGGCCGUAAAACGAAUUGGGGUCCUAAGGUUGUUAAGAGGGUUUUCCCGCCUCUUUAAGGCGGCUGAAAGAUUAACGGCAUUAGAGCACUCUCGGCCGUGGGGGAGUGAUCGGCCCGCCAUGGUCUGAAAUCUAGAAGGGAAAUUGGAGCGGGGGCGCCACGACACAAACUCGAGGUGAGAUACACUAUGUUCGAUAUAUAAUAUAUCUGCGCGAGCAG